UUAAUUAAAGCAAACCUGGAACCAGGUAUUGGGGUGAAUGCUGAAAGAUCAGGAAGACAAAACAGACCACAGCUAACCUCACCUCACCAACUUCUCAGCUGAUCUUUUUUCCUCAGGCUGAAGCCUAAGAGUCCUCAUCCAGAACAAAUCUCAGCUGAAUUGCUGCUAAAAACCUAAAAGCUUAACCAUCUCUAGUUCCUGGUCUUCGUGCCUUAUAU